UUUUUGUCUUAAAAGCUGCUCAAUCUCAGACAAAACCAACCCAUUCAUUGGCCAAAUCAAUCGUUCUUCUGCAGGUAUUUCCUUGAAAGCCAUUUCUGAUUCAAUAUGAAGUUAAUAUACUUGGACGAUUAAAGUUCAAAUCAAAGAUUAUUACUGUUAUCAUCUGGGAUCUACAUCUGUGGAACUAGAUACUUUGAUUAAACAGUAACAUGACAGCAUAGCUUUGGGAGUCUUCCGAUGUUACACAGUGAAACCUGUUAAGUAAAACACCUCUAAAAGUGGAACACCUCCCUAGACCAACCCACCUCAUCCUCACAUAUAGUACCAUAUGAAAAUAUCUUGGCGAAGACAAAGACACGAGACAGACACAAGACAAUGUAUAAAUCUGUUUGCCUUGCUGUAAUUAGCUUUGCUUCAGUGAUAAAUUGUGAAUCAAGAGGUUGCCAUGGAGAUUAUAUUGAUAAUGAAAUGACAAAGGAUGACUGUUUUCAAUGUGAAAACAGAAGAUGGAUAUCCUAUCCUCAAAAUCCAGACAAAAAUCCCUAUUGUGUGGAGUGCCUAAAAUGCCAAGCAGGGUUUGGACUGUCAGAGCGAUGUGGUUAUGGUGCUGGAGAGGAUGCGGAUUGUGUGUGGUGUGAUCCCAAGGAACAUAAAUAUAGCGAUGCCUAUGAAGCUGAUAUAUGCAAAACAAGCUAUCAUUGUCAUACUUUCCAUAGGAUUUAUAUUAUAAAUGCAACUAGUGAAUCAAAUGCUGAGUGUGGAGAGUGUGAAUAUGGAUAUGUUGAAUCUGAAAUGGAAGAUAAUUUUGAGUGUGACCCUUGUGAAUGGAGACGAAGUGAUCCAAGAUGCGAGAUAUAUUUGAUAGCAAAGGACACAACAACAACAACAACAACAAUGUCGAAAGCCAUCACAGUGGAAAAUGUCACACACCAUGAUCAAACUGAAAACACAUCAAGAGAACUGAAUAAUGAACCAGGUUCUGGGACAGACUUGACAGCGAUACUGAUUGCAGUUAUACUAGUAGUGGGAGCUGUGUUCUCCAUAUGUAUCAGUUGUUGGUGUUAUUGGAGAAAUAAGCCAAAACGCAUUUGCUUCAAUGGACCAUCACAAGAUCCAGAAAAAGGUUCAAGAGAAGAAAUAACUGAGAAUGAGCUUCUUCUAAAAAGUAAUGGCCAAUGUGAAGAAGCUAUCCCUAAAUCUGGGAAACCAAGAGUCCACACAGUGUCCGAAUCUGAUUCCCAUUGUGAUACUCUUAACAUUGACUACUGCCCACAAUGUCAGUGCAAUGACUGUGGUUGGAAGCAGAAUGGUAUUUGUGGACGCAGCAGUCGGAGAUCAACAAUGGAUGAUGAAGUUAGACCAGAAUCAUUCAUGACAAACUCUUCAGUAUCAAAGAAUGAGACCAGUACCUUGGUUGAUACAACCAGACUAGUUCCUAAUCCAAAUAUGGAAAUGGUUGCUCCUAACCCUAAGGUGCUGAUUAAACAACGCUCUGUGGAAAUGAAAAUCCAAGAGAAGGAGAAGGAGAGCCGCCAAUGUGCCAUUGGUUUGGUCUGUAAUCAAGAAAUACAGUCAUUCCCUUACAUGAGCUCAAUGAAUCCUGAGCCAGCUUCUUCGAGGCCCUCAGAACUUGAAUCAGUAAAUGGAGAGUUAUCCUUAGAAACAGUCAUAUCAGAAGCUAACAACUUGGCUAGUAAUAUCCCAAAUGAUAAUUCACUUUGUGAUGAGCAACGACAACCUCGUGUUUCAAGUGGGGGUUUCUCUGCUAAUAGCAGAGAUGAGAGACUAAGGCCACCGAUAUCCCAUGACUCUGAUGCUACAAUUCCUAAGAAGAGACUUGAUCAGGGAAAUGCUAGAGUCACUCCUCAGCCUCAUCGUGAUGUCAGUAGCUUUAAAGAUGCCUCCCUCCCUAAUAUCGAUGUCCGAACGGAAGAGUCAAGACCAAUUUCUCAGAGAGAGCAAGCUUUGAAAUGUGGUAUCGGUGAUCAAUAUGGUGAAGAAAAAUCCAAUGUGGCCAUCAAUGGGAACAAUAACCAUAUAACAAUAUACCAAAACCCACCAACAAAUCUGCUUCAAACAACGAAUCAGACAGAAAGCCAACCAAACUCCAAGAUUCGGGCUGAGAAGGAGAAGGCAUACCAGGAAGCAUUGAAUAAGUGCAAUGGCUGGAUGUUAGACAAGCUGAGCCUUGAUGAGAGAGACAGGAUUUGCGUUGAUAUGGAUCCAGAAAGACCCAAUAUUAAGAAUUUUAAACAUUUGGGUGAAAAAUUUGGAUACAGCAAUAAUGAACUUGACUGUUGUGGUGGAUGUAAAGGUCUCCUUCAUAGUCUGAUAGCAAAAGCUGUACCAGUCACAGACAUUCUGAAGGAGAUUCAUAAUAUACAUAGAUAUGAUGUUCGUAACUAUUUAGUUGACAUCAUAUUGAAGAAAAAUGAAGAGUGAAUUACCUAUGUUAUCCAAUUGGAAUGGAAGGUUUUUAGUCAGAUAUUUGAUAUAUUGAUUACAAGCUUUUCUGUUCUAUUUUCACCAGGAAAAUAUUGUGUAAAGCAAAUAAUUAAAUUAUUCUUGAAAAUGUACAUAAAGAUUGCAUGACUAAACAUGUCAUAUGGGGAGAGAAUGGCAUGACAUGACUAUGCAAUAAGUAUAAUUUAUUUGGUUUGACCCAUCUUGAGUUGCUAUCUGCAACUAUCUAGUAUAAGUGGACACCAUACAGUAUGGCAGUUGACACUUAAAGGAUCUCCUGUACAAUAAAGCAGUUGAUGCUAAGUAUAAGUGGACACCAUACAG
rnacentral:misc_RNA from 1 species